AUUGAACGCUGGCGGCAUGCCUAACACAUGCAAGUCGAACGGUAACGCGAGGAGCUUGCUCCUUGGCGACGAGUGGCGGACGGGUGAGUAAUGCUUGGGAAUCUACCCAGUAGUGGGGGACAACAUUCGGAAACGGAUGCUAAUACCGCAUACGCACUACGGUGGAAAGCGGGGGAUCUUCGGACCUCACGCUAUUGGAUGAGCCUAAGUCGGAUUAGCUUGUUGGUAGGGUAAAGGCCUACCAAGGCGACGAUCCGUAGCUGGUCUGAGAGGACGAUCAGCCACACUGGGACUGAGACACGGCCCAGACUCCUACGGGAGGCAGCAGUGGGGAAUAUUGGACAAUGGGGGCAACCCUGAUCCAGCAAUGCCGCGUGUGUGAAGAAGGCCUUCGGGUUGUAAAGCACUUUCAAUGGGGAAGAAAUACUCAGGGCGAAUAAUCCUGAGGGCUGACGUUACCCAUAGAAGAAGCACUGGCUAACUCUGUG
rnacentral:rRNA from 1 species